AAAAGAGGUAGAGGCGCAAAAUUUAAGAGUAUUAUUAUUGAGGUAAGCACGAUGACGUAGUAAGAAAGGAAAUUUUGCCGAAGCUUAUAACUGAUGUUUUAAGGUUAUAGAGCUGGGCUUAUGCAGAAUAUGUAUAAGACUGUCACAAAUUGGUUUGUGGUGAGCUAUCAUUCAU
rfam:Clostridium taeniosporum strain 1/k, complete genome.